AAUCCCUUGACGACAUUAUUAGUAGUAAAUUGCACAAUGAGCAUGGAAUGGACCUCACUUCCCACGGGUAUGAGAAUAUGUAGCAUAGGCUGUAGGCAAUUUAUACGAGUGAAGAAUGAAUAUUCCACGUAAAUGCUACUAUCAAGAUUUUUCACUGUGAUGAUCUGACUGGAUCGAAAACGUUUUGGAGAUUUAUAUUCCAUUUGGGUCAAAAAAAAAUUACAUCAUACAUAGGAAGUUUUUACUUCAUUGUAAGUUUGUUUAUACUUUAUUAUAGAGCCAACUACUGGAAUUUUCCCUUUUAAUUCAUUUUUAAAUAAAAUAAGUGUAUAAAACCA